rnacentral:misc_RNA from 1 species
UUCUUCUUCUUCUUCAUUUUUUUUAAUAUAUAUGGAUGGUGGUAAUUGUGGGUCUCGUUCAUCAAUGGAAAAGGUGAUGGGAGACUAUGGAGAUCAACCGCAUGUUUUAGCAGUGGAUGACAAUCUGAUAGACCGAAAACUCAUCGAAAAAUUGCUUAAGAACUCUUCUUGCAAAGGUACUGAUUCUCUCUUUCUCUGUCUUCAAAACACAGAUGGAUUAGAAAUGGUGCAUGACCAGUAUCAAAUUCGUCUGACUUGCUGCAGUCACCACAGCAGAGAAUGGGCUAAGAGCAUUGGAGUAUUUAGGCUUGGGAGAUGAUGGAAGAAACAACUUAGAUACCAAAGUAAGCAGCAUACUUCCAUAAGCUUGCACCUAAAAGUUGAGGAAAAUAUAACAGCGAUCCUUAAUAUUUGUUUUUACAGGGUUCCAAGGUGAACUUGAUCAUCACUGAUUAUUGUAUGCCAGGAAUGACAGGCUACGAGCUACUCAAGAAAAUCAAGGUAGUAUUAAUUGAAAUUUUUAUGAUCUUACCCUUAUGUAUUAUAGCCUGUAAUCCGUUCAUAAUUAUGUGUUACCCGAAAGCAGGAAUCAUCAAUCAUGAAGGAGGUUCCGGUUGUGAUUAUGUCAUCUGAGAACAUCCCAGCUCGUAUUAACAAGUAAUAUAUUUGCCAAUAAAGCCAUUUUUACUUUUGAAAUUUAGUAUUUUUCUCAUUUUUUUUAAAGGCUUGACUCUAUGUUCAAGCAGGUGCUUAGAGGAAGGAGCACAGAUGUUCAUGCUAAAGCCCCUCAAGCAAUCUGACGUGAAGAAAUUGAGGUCUAAGUUAAUGAACUGCAGAAGCUGAAACACAUUUUUUUGUAAAGGAUUUUUGAAACAACACCCACGAAGACUAAAACAAGGGUGCCAUUACUGGAGGCCACACACUUUGUCAAUUCUGUGACUGUGAUUGUGACUGUGUCUUUCUCAACCUACCUCUGUUAUUGGAUCAACUUGGUUUAGCUUGAAGCAAACAGCAUAUUUUGAUUUUGUUCAAAGCUCACUGACUUAUGCACUAACUAUUUAGAUGGAAAUUUAAUUUAAUUAAAUGACUUGUGCAUUAUGAUCAAGAAACUAUUGUUAGUAUUUUUUUUUUUUACUUUUUAUAUU